UGACAGAGUUGCAAAAGCUUGUAAGUAAUUUAUUUAUUCUGUCAAAGUGAUCUAAAGUUCGAGUUCACAAACUUCACAGAAGGAAGAAAAAAUGUGAAGAGAAUGUUGUGAAGGACAUGGAGAUGAACAAUUUCAAGCUCUGUAUGGAGAACAUAUCACAAGGACGGGAGUUGGCUGGUGUUCUAUUGAACAGAGGGGUAAACUUAGACUCGUUAAGCAAGCAGUCAAAAGUAAGAUUUACUUUGCUGAUAAAAAAAGAGAGUUGGACUUCUUGUGUAUGACUCACAAGUUUCGAUUGGUGCCACUCCUGAAUACAUGGCUGUUUAGUACACGAUGCAAAGUGCAAGCUCCUUUUUGCCAGUGAUGGCUCUUGCACCUCAAUAGAAGGAAAGAAUUGAUGACGUAACUGAACCAUUUCACAAAGACAUAUUUGCUUGCUGUUAAAUCUGAAAAAUAUGAAUUUUGAUUUUGAUUUAAAAGCACACGUGUGCCGCUCAAGUGGUGAAGAUAUUAUUUCCCAGAACAAAGGUCUGGGGUUUAGAUCUCAUUCACCUCAAUAUAUAAUCUUAUGUAGAUAGAAUAAAAGUUGAUAAUUAAAAAGUAGAAACCAAAACCACAUUUAACUGCCAUACUGAUCAUGUUCCCUGUCAUUGUUCCUGUGUAGCUAAGAAAGAGAAGGACAUCUUGAGGGACUCAUAGUCUCAAACUAACCAGAGUAAUUUCUUUUCCCUUUUUUUUUUUGUUCUCUGUUUUUGUUGUAGAAAAUGACUCUGUAAGCAAUUACCCUAAAGUAUGUCUCCAUUAUAAGAUAUCAGAAUUUUAGUUGUUAAGAUUUUCUUCCUUGACAACAAUGCUUUUACUUCUUUGUUUCAUUAAUUGAACUUGGUAUUGGGAUCGUUCUUUUUUAAAGUCACUGCUAUGAUAGUUGGAUUGGCAUAAAAAACACACACAGAGAAGGUAGCUAAAGUUGUUAUUAUUAAGAGAUGAAUUUGAAUUGACAAAUAUAUCCAAACCAUUCUUUCGAAUAUAAUUUCUAUUUAAAUUUUAUAGUACCCUCAGUGGAUGGUGUAGUGACAUGGAACUGAAUAGUUUUAUUAUUAUUGUUAUUAUUAUUUUUUUUGAGGAAUUUUGAACUCCGCCCCUGAUUUAGUUAUUGUUAUUAAGAGAUUAAUUCAAAUUUAUA